rnacentral:rRNA from 1 species
UACGUAGGGGGCAAGCGUUGUCCGGAUUUAUUGGGCGUAAAGAGCGUGUAGGCGGCCAUACAGGUCAGCUGUGAAAACUCGAGGCUCAACCUCGAGACGUCGGUUGAAACCGUUUGGCUAGAGUCCGGAAGAGGAGAGUGGAAUUCCCGGUGUAGCGGUGAAAUGCGCAGAUAUCGGAAAGAACACCCGUGGCGAAGGCGGCUCUCUGGGACGGUACUGACGCUGAGACGCGAAAGCGUGGGGAGCGAACAGG